rnacentral:misc_RNA from 1 species
UCCCGGUUAACCCGGGCAGUCUCAUUAGAGUUCCCACCUUAAAUGUUGGCAACUAAUGAUAAGGGUUGCGCUCGUUGCGGGACUUAACCCAACACCUCACGGCACGAGCUGACGACAGCCAUGCAGCACCUGUACAGCAGUCCCGAAGGAAGGGUACAUUUCUGUACCUGUCCACUGUAUGUCAAGUCUGGGUAAGGUUCUUCGCGUUGCAUCGAAUUAAACCACAUGCUCCACUGCUUGUGCGGGUCCCCGUCAAUUCUUUUGAGUUUCACCCUUGCGAGCGUACUCCCCAGGCGGCAUACUUAACACGUUAGCUACGGCACAGCCGGGGUUGAGUCCGGCUACACCAAGUAUGCAUAGUUUACGGCUAGGACUAC